GUAGUCUCGCACAGAUGCAUAUCAAUAAGCGGAGGAAAAGAAACUAACAAGGAUUCCCCUAGUAACGGCGAGUGAAGCGGGAAGAGCUCAAAUUUGAAAUCUUAAAGGGUUUCCCUUUACGAAUUGUAGUUUAAAGAAGUGUUUUCUGUUGAGGUUUUGGUAAAAGUUCUUUGGAAUAGGACAUCAUAGAGGGUGAGAAUCCCGUAUUUGACCUUUACUUUCAACUUUGUGAUACACUUUCAAAGAGUCGGAUUGUUUGGGAAUGCAGUCCAAAAUGGGUGGUAAAUUUCAUCUAAAGCUAAAUAUUGGCGAGAGACCGAUAGCGAACAAGUACCGUGAGGGAAAGAUGAAAAGAACUUUGAAAAGAGAGUUAAACAGUACGUGAAAUUGUCAAAAGGGAAGCGUUUGACACCAGUGUUGUUUUUCUGAAAAUCAAUUAAAGAACUGUUUAUGCUAAGCUGUUUAGACUUUAUCAGCUAACUGUUUAGUUUUGAGCUUUUCUUUAAUGCACUUUUCAGUUAACAAGUCAACAUCAAUUUCUUUUGCUGUAAAAAAGCUUGAGGAAGGUGGCUUGAGAUUCGUCUUAAGUGUUUAUAGCCUCUUAGCCUCUGCAGUCGGAGAGAUUGAGGUCUGCAGCGUAGAUCCUUCGGGGUUAAAUAGCAUUUGUGCUAAGUUAUAGCAUUUUCAUAGACAACAUGUUGGACUAUGAUUUAGUCAUGUAGCUUACUCGCUAGUGCUAUUUUACCUACGCUUAGGAUGUUGAAGAUGUAGCACAUCAU
rnacentral:rRNA from 1 species